UGUGGGUAAGGAAGGAAUUCAUUAAAGCAAGAGUAGAAGUGAAUGGCGGCAGCACCCACAGGCAGCAGAGAGCACGGGAGAGCAGAGGGAGGGGAGGGAAGCUCUCUGAACCCCUGCUCAGCAUAGGGCAGAUCCCUGGCCAGCUCCUGAAGCCAGGGUCACCUGGUGCCCAGUGUCCACUUGACUCUGCAUGGCAUGGGAACUAAGUCCUGCCCACCCCAGGAUUUGGGGGAGCCAUGGAGCACUGGAUGGAGUGAGUUCAUGUUCUAAGAACUUCCACUUCUAUAUUCUCUGUAGGACCUUAAACACUUCUUUACACAGAUACUAAUCCAGCUGAUUAGCUCACUCAACAUCAAUUUUAAUCUCCUUGUAUAAUCCUUCAAGGCCGAAAAGUUAAAUUUUUCAGUGUGGCUCUGUUACAUGUUUAGAACUGGCAUGCAACAAAGAGCACAAUCUAAUCCAUUGCAUUUAAGAAUUGGUUGUGGUCUAGAAAGAAAGAAGUCAAUGAGUAGGAACAAGUCAGUGUGUCUUUGGCAUCUUACAGGAGAUGGUGAUGAGAUAAGAUAAACAGCUUCCUUUUAAAGGUAUGAUUCUGUAGGUUACAGAAUACACAUUAAAAUAGCUACGUAGUUGGCAGCUGUGUGGUGAGUACUUUAUAUACACAAAUCCAUUUUCUUCUCUUACCCUACUUUCCUAAAAGUUGAUUUUAUAGAUGAAGAGGCUAUGGUUCAUAACGGGUAGUGACAUAGCCCAGGUCUUUUAGCCAGCAGUUCGCAAAGCCAGGAUUCUCUGGCUCUUGAAUGCUAUGUGCAAAAUCUCAAAUGGCAAGUUACAUUAUUUUGACGUCUACAAGGAACUUCCUUCCAGGAAGAGAAUGAAUUAACCAACUGACAUUAAUAUUCCAGUCUUCUUGUCAACCACAGUUCUCUGAAAAAUGAAAACUUGUGUCUGGUUGUAAAACAGUCCUUUAUGAGUUGGGAUGGCAUGAUUUUCCCAACCUCAUCCACUCCCUCAAACCUGAUACAUUGACUAGGCAAAUUUCAGGAACCAAUGAAGUUAAGAGACAUACGGAUCCACCAGAGCGCUGCCCUGCUGGUGGUGGGGACCUCUCCCCGCUGGACAGCUCCUCUUUUCAUAUCCUGUCUUUUCUAAGGCCACAACCCCCAUUUCUUUUUCUCUUCCCUGUCUUUCAGAGGCUGUUGUGGUUUAUGCAUGAGGCUUUGGGGUGUUCACUGUAACUGCACGACACAGAUUUUAAGCUAUUUUGGUGGACACAAUCUAAUUAUAUGAGCCCUUGAAAGCAGAGAUCUUUUUCUGGCUGGAGUUUGCAAGAAAGAUGCAAUGAAAGAAGGAGUCAAGGGCAUGUGAUGGACAGGAGAUUUGGAUAGAUAAGGCAGAAGGGGAAGCCAGAAGAGACAUUCAAGGCAUUAGAAGUGCUCAGCCAGCCAUUGCUAACUUUGGAGAUUGAGGAAGAAGACCAGGACUAGAAGGUCAAUGGAAAAAAUGAUGCGAUCAGCUUAAUUGGGACCUAAAGGCAUUUGAAGAAACCAAAAAUGACUGCUGAAGAAUUCUGAAGAAAAAUGGAGGUGGGAAUUCUGUGUUGCAGACACUGUUGCCUACCCAGCAUUCAAUCUACCCCUAACCCCUUGUUUCUAACAGGCACCAUCCUAAUUGGUUCAGUUCUUCACCCUUCUGUUUACUCAGAGAAUGUGAGCACACCCUCCCUAGCUUCAGACAGUGAAUCAUGAUUAGGUUCUAUCUAACAGAUAUCAGAGGUAUCUAUAUCUAUAGACACCAGAGGUCUCUUUUCCUUUGCCACGCAUGAGAUUUUCUCAUUUUUCUCAUAUUUAUGACACUUUUAGUUAGCCUUUUGUUUUUCUCACUUUUAUGAUGCAUUUGGUUGGACUUUUGUUGUUUGUGCCCACUGUGUUGAUACAUUCUCAUAACACAGUUAAUUAUAAAAUCAAAGCAAAAGACAAAACAUGAAAAGCAUUCCCAUUAAAUUUGGAAGCAACAAAAGGAUACCUGUUUUUUAUUAUUAUUUAGCAUUGUCUUAUAAGAAUUAGCCAAUAGAAAUAGAAAACUAUCAUUAUUUGCAGAUGAGAUGAAUAGACAACUGGAAUAUUUUAAAUUCUGAAUUGUAAAACUGUUAGAAAAAAAUUAAUGUUAAUAAAUUUAACUGAAUACAAAUGUAUAAAAUGAUAAAUAAUUUGGACAAAAACAUAAGACAAACCCAAUUACAACAGCAACAAAAACAAUAAUAAUCAAAAUUCCUAGAAAUAAUCUCAAUAAUACCUUAUCUAUAGAAAAUUAUCACUUUGAAAUAAAGGUUACAAUAGAUUUAAUUAAAGGGGUAUGUACUUGUUCUUAGUUUGGGAGUUCAAUUUUGUAUAAAAGAUAUGUCAUCCCAAUCAAAACAGCAAGAGAGUAUUUGUGAAUGACAGGAUUAUUCUAAAGUUUAGGUGAAAGAAGAAGCAAAUGAAAAUAUCUGAAGAAAUUCUGGAAGAGUGAUGAAGGAGGGUUUAUUCUACUUCAUAUUAAAACAGGUGAUACAGUUAUGGUAAUUAUAAGAGUGUGAUACUGGCACAGAGACUGACUCUUUAGUGAUACAGAGAAAAGUCCAUAAUUAGACCAAAAUAAUUAUGGAAACAUAAUAAAUUGGCAUCUGGAGAGAGGAGGUUGAUUAAUCAGUGAACAAUGUGUGAUCAAAUGGUUCACUAUUUUGGAAAAAAAAAACUGGAUCUCUGUAUCAGCAUAUAAAAUACAUCCUAAUGAAUAAUAAUUCAAAUGUAAUAUUGAAAAUAAUGUUCUUAAUUUAAGAUCACAGUGUUAAUUUAUAACACCGAAAUUCUCUUAAACAUAAGAAAAGGACAAAUCAUUGUUUCCAUACAGGGGCGGUCAUUCUCAAAGCCACUGUGGUGAACGGGAAUGAGUGCUGACUGUUUUGCCGUGGACCAGGAUUAGAACCAGACCAGAUGCCUGGGGGAGAGUGGAGACCUCCCAGGCUGUGCUCUGCUGCCGGGGACGGUGCCAAGCAGGUGAAGCCAGGCAAAGAGGAUCUGCCACCCGCCAGCAAAUGAACAUGAGCUGAGGGCAAGGGAAAACAAGUGCACCUGGUUUAGGAAAAAAUGUCAUCUUUAGAGGGUCAGAAGUUUUGAGCUUUGAAAUGCUAACUGAAGUCAUGUCCAGUGUGUUAAGGGCUAAGGCCUUCUUGAAACCAUUGUAGGUUUUUGGACACAUGCUAAAGAAACCUUCCUGUGAAGAUAAAUUACAGUUAAAAAUUACAAAGCAGCUGAAGGAAAGUAUCACCAUAAAAAGCAAAUGAUAUAUUCAGAACAUAGAAGCACUUAAAACUCAGGGAAAUCAUCAUAAUAGAAAACACUAAAGACUUUAAAAUAAGUAUUUUUAACUUUUUCUGAGUUAGUGAAUGAGAACCAAAAAAAAAAAAACAAGAC